rnacentral:lncRNA from 1 species
UCAACAAGAAUGCGGCGUACAUCAUAAUCAGCAAUAUUCAAAGAAACUACAACCACAUCAUUAUGGGGGAACUGGAUCCCCCGGGUGUCUUCUUCCGUAAAGGGUAUAGAUCCUUCAAUUUUUUGUUGCUUGGGCGGCCUGACCGAUCCACUGGCCGCUCCCCUCCGGGGUCCUCUAGAGAUGGUGUUAAUGAUCCCAAUUGGAGGCCAAUCUCCAAGCUGUUC